rnacentral:rRNA from 1 species
GCCGGGUGAGUGAAGAAGGCCUUUGGGUUGUAAAGCUCUUUCGUCGGGGAAGAAAAUGACUGUACCCGAAUAAGAAGGUCCGGCUAACUUCGUGCCAGCAGCCGCGGUAAUAGGAAGGGACCUAGCGUAGUUCGGAAUUAUUGGGUUUAAAGAGUUCGUAGGUGGUUAAAAAAGUUGGUGGU